rnacentral:lncRNA from 1 species
UCUAAUACGUUCGGAAAAUAAAUUUUCACUAUUAUAUGGUACAACAACAAAUCCAGUAAUUUCCCACAAGUGAGGUCUGGGGAGGGUGAAAUGUACGCAGCCUUACCCCUACCCUAGAAGGACAGAGUUUGUUUCCGAUCGACCCUCGGCUAGAGAACGUAUGACAAAAGUAAUGGCAACAAGAAGGAAUAACGAGAUAAAAAUACUGAAGUCAAGAAAGCAGCUAAACUCUAGGUAAUCAUAGCAAUCUAUG